rnacentral:rRNA from 1 species
AGGAUGAACGCUGGCGGCGUGCCUAAGACAUGCAAGUCGUGCGGUAACAGGCCCUUCGGGGUGCUGACGAGCGGCGGACGGCUGAGUAACGCGUGGGAAUCUGCCCCAAAGUGAGGAAUAACUGCCCGAAAGGGUGGCUAAUGCCGCAUAUGCUCUUCGGAGUAAAGCUUUCGAGCGCUUUGGGAGGAGCCCGCGUCAGAUUAGUUAGUUGGUGAGGUAAUGGCUCACCAAGACGAUGAUCUGUAACUGGUUUGAGAGGAUGAUCAGUCAGACUGGAACUGGGAUACGGUCCAGACUCCUACGGGAGGCAGCAGUUAGGAAUAUUCCACAAUGGGGGCAACCCUGAUGGAGCAACGCCGCGUGGAGGAUGAAGGCCCUAGGGUCGUAAACUUCUUUCUCUGCGAUGAAUAUGACAGUAACAGAGGAAUAAGGGUCUGCUAACUACGUGCCAGCAGCCGC